rnacentral:rRNA from 1 species
UGUAGCGGUACAAGAUGGGGUUGCGGUCCAUUAGGUUGUUGGUGGGGUAGAGGCCUACCAAGCCCGCGAUGGAUAGCCGAUCUGAGAGGUUGAUCGGCCACAUUGGGACUGAGAUACGGCCCAGACUCCUACGGGAGGCAGCAGUGGGGAAUAUUGCGCAAUGGAGGCAACUCUGACGCAGCAACGCCGUGUGCAGGAUGACGGCCUUAGGGUUGUAAACUGCUUUCAGUAGGGAAGAAGUAAUUGACGGUACCUACACAAGAAGCUCCGGCUAACUACGUGCCAGCAGCCGCGGUAAUACGUAGGGAGCAAGCGUUAUCCGGAUUUAUUGGGCGUAAAGCGCGCGCAGGCGGGUGUUUAAGCGGGACUUCUAACCCGAGGGCUCAACCCCCGGGCGGGUCCCGAACUGGACAUCUUGAGUGCGGUAGAGGCAAGUGGAAUUCCAUGUGUAGCGGUGAAAUGCGCAGAUAUAUGGAAGAACACCGAUAGCGAAGGCAGCUUGCUGGGCCGACACUGACGCUGAGGUGCGAAAGCUAGGGGAGCAAACAGGAUUAGAUACCCUGGUAGUCCUAGCCGUAAACGAUGGACACUAGGUGUGGGGGUCAUGUGACCUCUGUGCCGCAGCUAACGCAUUAAGUGUCCCGCCUGGGGAGUACGACCGCAAGGUUAAAACUCAAAGGAAUUGACGGGGACCCGCACAAGCAGCGGAGCAUGUGGCUUAAUUCGAAGCAACGCGAAGAACCUUACCAGGGCUUGACAUAUAGAUGAAGCUAUGGAAACAUAGUGGCUUAAUUGAGUCUAUACAGGUGGUGCAUGGCUGUCGUCAGCUCGUGUCGUGAGAUGUUGGGUUAAGUCCCGCAACGAGCGCAACCCUUGUCACAUGUUGCCAGCAUUUAGUUGGGGACUCAUGUGAGACUGCCGGCGUUAAGCCGGAGGAAGGUGGGGAUGACGUCGAGUCAUCAUGCCCCUUAUGUCCUGGGCUGCACACGUGCUACAAUGGUUGGUACAGAGGGCUGCCAGUCCGCGAGGAUGAGCGAAUCCCCCAAAGCCAGCCUUAGUUCGGAUUGCAGGCUGAAACCCGCCUGCAUGAAGUCGGAGUUGCUAGUAAUCGCGAAUCAGCACGUCGCGGUGAAUGCGUUCCCGGGUCUUGCACACACCGCCGGUCA